GACAAAUUUAAGGUUCAAAAGUUUAAGCAUCCCAUGAUCUUUCUAACAGAUGACUUGACCACAGUCAUGCGUCUUACUUCGCUAAAAUAUCGCUUGUCUAUGAUAAAAGUUAACACAUAUAAGACUUCCUCUUUCACAACUUAAGCACACAUUUCACCUUUCCCCCCUGGCAACAUCUGACAAGACACGCUUUCAAAAUAACCUUUCCUUUUGCAAUCCAAAAAACAGUCCAGACAUCCAUUAAUAAAUUGUAGCAAUAAAACAUAGUUUCUUCUUAUUUCUUAGAGUAAAUAUUCUUCUUUGAUUAUAUUUUAAGAUGAUGAAUAAACAGCAAAAUGGCUGACAGCAUGUCAGUAGCAGGUUACAUAUGUUCACAGUCCUCCCUUUGGUGCUAGGACUUUCACCACAAAAAGCUCCGUGCAACACUUCCAUGUUUAGCGAAGGUCAUUCAGUGAGCUAGUGAUUUUAAACAGCACUUGCAGGACUUUCCAUAUAGAUGCGCACACGAUCAAUAUCUUCAGAGAAAGCAUGUCUGUAUUCCAAGUCGGUAUGAGUUGUGACCGGAUAGGAGACAUUUCAACAUUCGAAAUUGUGCCAGGGGGAGAUGAAGGUGAACAGCUCUUGAGGAUUAAUCGGCACGAACACUUUAGGACAUUCACUGCAACAUAUAUAAAGACAAGCAUCAAUACUACUAAAAUAACUCCAAUGAGAAUACGUUUUCCCAUUGUUCCCAACCAAUUAGUUAAACCAAAACUCCAGUCAAAACCCCAAUUUAGACCUCCCGAAGAAGUAUUGUGAACUUCUCUAAGUUUAAUUUGUAGUUCAUGCAAUUUAUCUACAUCUGUAUGAAUCUGACCAGUAACAUUAUCUAUCUUUAAACGACAUCUUGUUUUUAUCAGUGCACAAACACCACCUUCGGAGGCCAACAAAUAAUCUAGGGCAAACCUAUUUUGCAUAAUCAUAGCUGAAGCUUGUUCCUGUUCUGCAGACAAUUUUUCAAUAGCAUCUCCUGUAUUAUUAAAGGCUUCAUCUAGUAUAUCUCCUAACAAGUUUAAUUUGUACAUUAAUUCAAUAACCCCCCCUUUAGGUACAAAACCUGCAAAUAGCGUAUCUCCUUCACCAGAUUUUACAGUUCUUUCGGUUUUAUCUUUUUUGGAACUAAUAGCCUUUCUUUUAUUCCUCACCCUUCCUUCAGGCAAAUUUUCAUGAAGGGUUGACACUGGGAUAAUAUUACCUAGAUAACAAGUUUCCACCCAAUUACAUGGAAGUCUUUUUACCGCCCAACUACCACAUAAAUAGUAUACCCCAAAUGGAAGAUGAAUAUCAAUAACACGAGAAUCUGAGCAGUCAAAAAUAGGUUGAUUAAUAUAGGGCAGUAGCAUAAAAAGAUUGGAAGUUAAAGUUUGAGUAUUAAAGUAGGCCCAUCUCAAAAUAGUGACAUUUAAAUGUUCAUUCUGAUCAUAAUUAUUAUCCAUGAUUUCUACCUCAGAAGUCAAAUUUACCCAUACAUGAUUAGUAUUCACCGGGAUUCUAUCCUUGAUGGGACAUUUUGUUAAAAUAUCUUCUAAUAAGGGUUUCCAACAAAAAGCUUUCAAUCUACCAGUACAAGGGGCAGAAUUAGUUUCAGACCCACAUAGAUUAUAAAGGACAUUGUUUUCAAAAAUAACAAUAGCAUUGCUUAUAGGCUUAACAAUCUUGUCAGGACUUUUCUGAUCCCUGUUAGAAAUUACUACUGCUCUGCUAGUAAUAGGAUAUGUUAAAUGAACCUUAGCAGGUUCGCCAGAUUUGGAUACUUCAUUCUGAAUAAAUCCAACAAACCCCGUUUUAUUUGCUCUUAUUUUCUCACAAAGAGAUUCCAUAGACCAUGGCACCCCCACAAAAGGAUAACCAUAGUUCAUGGAAUGCGGAGCAAACCCACAAACCCAACAAUGAUUACUUUUGUUUGACAAUUUAUACAAUUCAGUAGCUGUUUUAACAAAAUGAUUAUCUAUCUCCCAUGAAGAAAAAUACUUGGCUCCCUGGCCCAAGCUACACGUGUAUUAAAGAAAAAAAAAAAGAGGAGCUAACGUAGUGUAGAGGAUGAAAAAUAAAAAAAUGUCAUAAUGACAAUCAUUAAGGACAAUAUAAGUUUAACCAGUUUGAGAUUCAUGAAGAAAAACAGUAGAGUUGACUUUGGAUUAGAAAGAUACUCCCCUUAAAAAGUACCCCUUUUUAGAAGGGAAAACGGCUUCCUUAGUCCUCUAUUCUUCUUCCAGUGAAAAAAUCUUUUCCAGCGCUUGUCAGUUUACAAUGGGAAAUGUGGAUCCAAGAUUUAACCCCUGCGACUUUAACAGCUGAAUUAGUGGUUAAUAACACUUGACAAGGUCCUUUCCACCUUGGUUGCAACGCGUGCUUUCGUGAAUGAUCUUUUAUCAUAACAUAAUCUCCAGGAGCGAUGGCAUGCAAAGGUUGGUAUUCACUUGUUCGCUGUACAGCUUUUACCUGCAUAUAGAGAGACUAAUCGUUUUGUUAGCUACAUGCAAUACGUCAUUACUAAAUCAUCAUUUAUCUCAUGAGAAUAACAUUUUAUAGGUACCCGUCCUGUGAACAUUGGUCUUCCCAUUAGAAUUUCAUGAGGGGAUAACCCUGCUUUCAAACUAGAGAGAAUCUCAUAGACAUUAAGGCAAGAGGAAGUGCAUUAAGCCACUUUAACUUUCUCUGCUGCAAUUUUUGCAAUUUUGUUUUUUAAUGUUCCAUUGGCCCUUUCUACUGCUCCUUCUGACUGAGGAUGAUGAGAGCAAUGUAAAUGAUAAGGGAUUUGCUAAAUUUUUGCUAUCUGUUGCACUACUUUUCCUAUAAAAUGUGUUCCCUGAUCUGAGUAAAUGUGCCGAGGCAAUCCAUAGCUGGGUAUAAAUUCUUGUAACAAUUUCUUAAACAUUGUAGACAUAUCGGCAUGGCAACAAGGUUAAGCCUCAACCAAACCUGAGAAUGUAUCUAAUAUUACUAGCACAUACCGGUACUGCAUUACCUUUGGUAAUUCAAUGAAAUCCAUUUGUAAAUUUACAAAUGGACCUCAUGAACAGGGAGGAUGAUUUAGGUCUCUGACCUGCAUUGUAUUGUAAACAAAUAACACAUGAAGAACACACCAGUGCCAAUACAGAUUCUAGGCCCAGCCUUGACCAUUCAGAAUUAAACAAUGAUGGCAAUGCUGGUCUUCCACUAAAUAUACAUUCUCCCCACCAAAAUCACUUACUUCUUCUUCCCUCAGUAUCACAUACAAUUCAUUUACUUUCAAAUGUACCAUAGGUUCUGGACCUUGGGUCACUGGUACACUAACAAUACAUAUUCAGACCCCAAUCUUCCUCUACAUCUAGUCUGUCUUUUUCUUCUAAUUGCUUUCUUGUCCCCUUUACCUCCUUGCAAUCUGUUGCUAUAUGACCAUAUCCAUCACAAUUGAAACAUUUGAUGUGCAUAAUAUCUAACAGGAAUUUGUUCAGCUUGUAGCAUUAUGUGCUCAGCUUUUGCAUUUUCCUUGAUUUGAAUAGCUUGUCAAAUUUCUGAUGCAUCCAAAGCAUUUACUAAGGUAUUCACUAUGAACGGCUUAAUUGAUUCAACCGUGAUAUCUUCAAAACUUCCAAAAACCUUAAUUGCUUCCCCAUAUUCAUAGUGGUUUUCUCCUUUCUUUUGCACUAUGCUAUGUAUAGUCAAUAGGCUGGGUAAAAACUGUUUUUACUUUGAUGCUGAGGAAUGCAUACCAAUUCUUAAGGACAACAUCACUCCUCUCAUCAGGGCAAUUUUCCCAUAUGUGUGCAACUGUUUGUCCCCCACCCCUGCAGGCCAUGAAAAAGGUGACUCGUCAUAUCCUGCCACCCAUUUAGUAUGUUCUGUAGGGGUUAAUACUGUCUCCAUUAACUCAUUAAGAUCUUAUGUUGUGGGGAAAUAGCUGGCACACAUUAUUUUUAAAUGUUUUACAAACCCAUUUGGAUCUAGAGGGGGCAGGAAAUGAUACCUGUAAAAAUGCUAUGUCUUGUGGGCUCCACGGUUGACAAAUCCUCCGUGGUCUCCCAUCAUUAUCCAUCUGUCCCACUUCUCUAAUAGGUAAAAUCAUAGCCUCACUCCCAUCACUCUCAGGCAACACAUUGCUACAUCCUGAUAAACCUGUAGUUACCACAGCAUGAUCAGCAAAUCUUUUAGGCAGUCUAAUAUCCCUCUCAGGUCUACCACCUCAAUGCAACAUGGCUGAGGCACCAGCUAAAUUUUGGGGUACAAGCUGUGGUGCAUCAUUCAUCUGCUGAGGGGAAGUGACCCAAAGAGGGAUUCAUAAUCUCAUGAUUAAUCAAAAAAU
rnacentral:lncRNA from 1 species